ACCGCUAUAGGUUAAACAUAUACCCAAUACCAAUGUUAAUGAAAACAAAAUAUUUUUUUUUAAGAAAAUACGUGUUAUAAUUAUUUUUCCAGAGACAAUUUGUUCAAAACACUUACACGUUGUUACGAAAAUAACAAAUAAAUUCUCUCCCGAAACGUAGACAAUCAAAAUGUACACAUUAGAUAGGUGUAGGUCGUAGAGACAUUAUUAUAUCUAAUGAUUUAGCUGAAAAACUAUUAUAGAAUUGAUAUUUUAAUUUUUUUUUUUUUAAUUUGAAGGUUUAAUAAUAGGUAUAAUCAGAUAAAACAUUCGUAAUAAGUACCCAAUAACCUCGCUUAAAAUAUUAAUUACCGUAACUUUUAUUCGUUCAAUUAGAAAUUAAUAUUGAGGUAAAUUAAAAAUGCAUUAACCCCUAGCAGACGCAGUGCAGUAGACGAGGUAUUAUAUUACAUAGUUAUAAGUAUACGAGCGUGUUAAUUAUUGCGAUGCGUUGUGUGUAUUAUAUUUGUUUGUAAUAGUUUACGGUCAUUUUAUCAGCCUAAUGUGUAUAAUAUUAUUAUACAUUCGGUAGGUAACAACUAUCAAGUUGUUUGAAAAUAUUUAUACAAAGAUUAAUGCGUGAUAAUGAGAGUUGCGCG